rnacentral:rRNA from 1 species
GACGGAGGGGGCAAGCGUUGUUCGGAAUUAUUGGGCGUAAAGGGCUCGUAGGCGGAUCUGUAAGUCUGACGUGAAAUCUACACCGCUCACCGGGUAGCUUGCGUUGGAUACUGCAGAUCUGGAGUUCGGUAGAGGGUCGUGGAAUUUCGGGUGUAGCGGUGGAAUGCGUAGAUAUCCGAAAGAACACCGGUGGCGAAGGCGGCGACCUGGGCCUGAACUGACGCUGAGGUACGAAAGCGUGGGUAGCGAACAGG